rnacentral:rRNA from 1 species
GACGAACGCUGGCGGCGCGCCUAACACAUGCAAGUCGAACGGGGAUAUGCUGGACAAGGCUUCGGCCGAGGAAGGCAUAUUCGAGUGGCGGACGGGUGAGUAACGCGUGAGCAACCUGCCUUUCAGAGGGGGAUAACGAUUGGAAACGAUCGCUAAUACCGCAUAACAUUGCAGAGCCGCAUGGUUUUGCAAUCAAAGGAGCAAUCCGCUGAGAGAUGGGCUCGCGUCCAAUUAGGUAGAUGGCGGGGUAGAGGCCCACCAUGCCGACGAUUGGUAGCCGGACUGAGAGGUUGAACGGCCACAUUGGGACUGAGACACGGCCCAG